rnacentral:rRNA from 1 species
UACAGAGGUCCCAAGCGUGUUCGGAUUCACUGGGCGUAAGGGUGCGUAGGUGGCCGGUUAAGUCUGACGUGAAAUCUCCGAGCCUAACUCGGGAACUGCGUCGGAAACUAUCCGGCUCGAGGGUUGGAGGGGGACUGGAAUACUUGGUGUAGCAGUGAAAUGCGUAGAUAUCAAGUGGAACACCAGUGGCGAAAGGCGAGUCCCUGGACGAACUCCUGAGCACUGAGGCAACGAAAGCUAGGGGAGCAAACCAGGAU